UUUAAUUUAAUUCCAUCUUGUUUAAAGUCUCAUCUCAUGGCAUGCAGUGUUCUCACUCUCAAAUUUGAAUCAUUUACCUGAAAGCUCCAGGGGUUUCUCUGAAAGAAUGAUGAAAACUGAAGAAAAAAAACCCUUCCACUUCGCCCUGUUAUAUAUCCAGGCUUCGUGACAUUCCCUUGCUCUUAAACAGAAACACUUGGAGGUCUGCUAUCUAAUCAUACUCACUGUUUUUUGCUGACUGGGAAAAGGUUUACCUCCACGUCCACCAGGAUGGAACAUGGAGAUUGGAUGAGAUUUGUCUCUGGAUGGAGAACCUCAUUAUUCUCCACCGCAUCCAGCUGCUGCUUUCCUGGCCAAGGAGACACGAACAGUUUGCAGAUAUAUUUGCUGUCCCUGUUCAGUCUUCAGGUCAGUGAUGUCUGGCUGAAAUGUUGGCAUAUUUUUGGGAUAUGAUUUACUGGGCCAGUCUUCAAAACAAAAUGUGCAAUGAUAUUUAAUAAUUUAGUUUUUUAACCAAACUUAUUAAAUAUUCGCAGUAUUUCACUGAAUGUUCUGGAGCAAAUUUUAAUAUAACUUUUUGCAUCAUUUCUUUGGUGCAGUGAGUGUAUUUUGAAGUGUGUAUAUAUACCUUACUUAUCCUUUUCUUUACAUUUUGUUGCUGUAAUAUGUUUUCAUUUAAUGCUCCGUUUUAAAGCACUUUUUUUCUGUGAACAGUGCUCUGCAAGUAAAACGUACCCUUUUACUUACUAAUUCCAGGUUUUUCAAAAGCUCUUUGCCUUUGAUUUUUAUU